ensembl:lncRNA
CAUAACAUACACUGAACAAAAUUAUAAACGCAACACUUUUGUUUUUGCCCACAUUUUUCAUGAGCUGAACUCAAAGAUCUAAGACUUUUUCUAUGUACACAAAAGGCCUAUUUCUCUCAAAUAUUGCUCACAAAUCUGUCUAAAUCUGUGUUCACGAGUUCACAUCUACGUAUAUUAAUACCGUAAGUUUAUGCGUAUUUGGCGUGCUGUCCGGGUGGAGGGCUCCGAGCUCGGGAUGUGGCCCGAACCCAGAGUACUCCCCCCGGUUGUGGUAAGAAUAGAUGGAUCUUUAAGUGAGGAGAAAUGGGGUGGAGGAGGGAUGCUGAAAACUGUCAAUGAACAUAGGUAGGUUCUGCUGUUAUUUAUACCUUGUCAUGAGUAGAUUACUGAUUGGUCUCCACUUGUGUUAAUCAGGUUAAUGAACUGCGACUGUUCCUCCCGAACUUUGUUAUAAAACAGCAUGAAACCAAUAGAUAUUUCUGUGUCCGCUGGGAGACUGAGGCUCGCUGGACAGACAGGGGAAACCAAUAGAUAUUACUGCGUCCGCUGGGGGACUGAGGCUCGCUGGACAGAUAUGGGAGACGAAUUGUGUCCCUGCGUCAGCUGGAAGACUGGGCUUGCUGGACGAAGAACAGGAAGAGAUGGAUGCAUACUGCGUCCGCUGAGAGACUAGUGCUCGCUGGACAGGCAGAGGAGAAAUAGGUAUUUACGGUGUCCGCUGGGAGACUGAGGCCCACUGGACAGGUAGAAAGAAUUAGAUAUUUACUGCAUCCGCUGUGAGACUAGUGCUCGCGGACUGAUGGAGGAGGCAAAUAGGUAUUUUCUGUGUCUGCUGGGAGGCUGAGGCUCACUGGACAGACAGAGGAAAGAAAAAUAAUAAUGAAAAAUAGAUAUUUACUGCGUCCGCUGGGAGACUAGUGCUCGCUGGACAGGCAGGGGAAACCAAUAGAUAUUUCUGUGUCCGCUGGGAGACUGAGGCUCGCUGGACAGACAGGGGAAACCAAAGAUAUUACUGCAUCCGCUGGGAGACUAGUGCUCGCUGCACAGGCAGGGGAAACCAAUAGAUAUUACUGCGUCCGCUGGGAGACUGAGGCUCGCUGGACAGAUAUGGGAGACGAAUUAUGUCCCUGCGUCAGCUGGAAGACUGGGCUUGCUGGACGAAGAACAGGAAGAGAUGGAUGCAUACUGCGUCCGCUGAGAGACUAGUGCUCGCUGGACAGGCAGAGGAGAAAUAGGUAUUUACGGUGUCCGCUGGGAGACUGAGGCCCACUGGACAGGUAGAAAGAAUUAGAUAUUUACUGCAUCCGCU